AGUGAACGCUGGCGGUAGGCCUAACACAUGCAAGUCGAACGGCAGCACAGUAAGAGCUUGCUCUUACGGGUGGCGAGUGGCGGACGGGUGAGGAAUACAUCGGAAUCUACUUUUUCGUGGGGGAUAACGUAGGGAAACUUACGCUAAUACCGCAUACGUCCUACGGGUGAAAGCAGGGGAUCUUCGGACCUUGCGCGAUUGAAUGAGCCGAUGUCGGAUUAGCUAGUUGGCGGGGUAAAGGCCCACCAAGGCGACGAUCCGUAGCUGGUCUGAGAGGAUGAUCAGCCACACUGGAAUUGAGACACGGUCCAGACUCCUACGGGAGGCAGCAGUGGGGAAUAUUGGACAAUGGGCGCAAGCCUGAUCCAGCCAUACCGCGUGGGUGAAGAAGGCCUUCGGGUUGUAAAGCCCUUUUGUUGGGAAAGAAAAGCAGCAGGUUAAUACCCCGCUGUUCUGACGGUACCCAAAGAAUAAGCACCGGCUAACUUCGUG
rnacentral:rRNA from 1 species